rnacentral:rRNA from 1 species
UGGGGAAUAUUGCACAAUGGGCGAAAGCCUGAUGCAGCAACGCCGCGUGAAGGAAGAAGGUCUUCGGAUCGUAAACUUCUGUCCUUGGGGAAGAAGAACUGACGGUACCCAAGGAGGAAGCCCCGGCUAACUACGUGCCAGCAGCCGCGGUAAUAUGUAGGGGGCAAGCGUUAUCCGGAAUUAUUGGGCGUAAAGAGUACGUAGGUGGCAACUUAAGCGCAGGGUUUAAAGGCAAUGGCUCAACCAUUGUUCGCCCUGCGAACUGGGAUGCUUGAGUGCAGGAGAGGAAAGCGGAAUUCCUAGUGUAGCGGUGAAAUGCGUAGAUAUUAGGAGGAACACCAGUGGCGAAGGCGGCUUUCUGGACUGUAACUGACACUGAGGUACGAAAGCGUGGGGAGCAAACAGGAUUAGAUACCC